rnacentral:tRNA from 1 species
GCAAAGAUAGCUUAAUGGUAGAGUUUAAUCUUGCCAAGGUUACUGAUGUGAGUUCGAAUCUCAUUCUUUGCU